AAAUUAGGCAUCCAUCUCCGCUGAAUCCCAUUGUUAACAUGCUGGGGCAAUGUUCUCUCUCAUUUUGCUUUCUUCUGUUUGGAUAUCUGAGGUCUAUGUGCAGCAGCGAGUUCUGGAACCGGAAGUCAAGGUUGCAAUCUGUGUCAGUAUCUGAUCACUGUUCACGGAGGGUGACAGCAGCUGCAGGCACUUAAAGGAAUGUUACCCAAGGGCUAGACUAGAAACUGAACUGGACCAGCUGGAUAAAUACUGUAGCUACAAGAGCAAGUCAGAAACUGGGAAUUCUGUGAAAACUCAGUAAAUGUCAGCACCAGAAGGAAACAGCUACAUCAUAAAGUACAACAACUUCAAUUGAUGGAGCACCUACAGUGAAAUAUCUCAAGCCACUUCGAAGAAAAGUAACCAGACAAGAUUUCACAGCAGGACUUGUAAAUGCGAAAGAACAUUUUCAAAUCAAGUAAAAGGUGCAAAGGGACUUCAAUCAGCAGUACUUCACAGGAAGAGAUGCAAUCGAGAAUAAACUGGACUGUGGUUUCCUGUGGCUAUAGAGAGAAUGAAGGGUUGGCUACUGCUCUCAGCAGGACAUGGCCUCCUGUGGAGUAUCCCUC